rnacentral:rRNA from 1 species
UAGGGAAUAUUGGACAAUGGGCGCAAGCCUGAUCCAGCCAUGCCGCGUGAGUGAAGAAGGCCCUCGGGUUGUAAAGCUCUUUUGUCCGGAAAGAAAAGCAUCGGGUUAAUACCCCGGUGUUCUGACGGUACCGGAAGAAUAAGCACCGGCUAACUUCGUGCCAGCAGCCGCGGUAAUACGAAGGGUGCAAGCGUUACUCGGAAUUACUGGGCGUAAAGCGUGCGUAGGUGGUUCGUUAAGUCUGAUGUGAAAGCCUUGGGCUCAACCUGGGAAUGGCAUUGGAAACUGGCGGACUGGAGUGCGGUAGAGGGUAGCGGAAUUCCCGGUGUAGCAGUGAAAUGCGUAGAGAUCGGGAGGAACAUCCGUGGCGAAGGCGGCUACCUGGACCAGCACUGACACUGAGGCACGAAAGCGUGGGGAGCAAACA